rnacentral:rRNA from 1 species
UACGGGGGGGGCAAGCGUUGUUCGGAAUUACUGGGCGUAAAGGGUCUGUAGGUGGCUUGCUAAGUCAGACGUGAAAUCCCUCGGCUUAACCGGGGAACUGCGUCUGAUACUGGCGAGCUUGAGUGCAGGAGAGGAACGCGGAAUUCCAGGUGUAGCGGUGAAAUGCGUAGAGAUCCGGAGGAACACCAGUGGCGAAGGCGACACGCUGGGCCGUACCUGACGCUAAAGCGCGACAGCAUGGGGAGCAAACGGG